CCAUCGGCGCCGUUAUCUAAUUAAAAAGUAUCCCACCUGUGAGGAUUAUCCUAAAUAAUCGCUUCGCACUAUUGAUCGCUCAGAAAAUAACAACGAAAACGAUAGAAAAAGAAAAAAAAAAGAAAGAAAGAAGAGAAUAUCCCACUACCAUUCAUUACUCACUCCUUCUCGCUUACGCACACGGAAUCUACCCUCGUUUUCCUUUUUCUUCUUUCUUUCUCACUCUCACUCAGAAUAUCUCUCACAUUGUCAUUUUCUGUUUUUUUCUUUCUUUCUUUCGGAACUUCGUAAUUACGCACAGUUUCUAUGCUUCACUGUGUUGAUGCUGGAUUUCUACUCACUACAUAAACCCUAACAACCUCAAUUGCUUAUCACUUGCAAGUUCGAUCUCUCUCUCUCUCUCUCUCUCUCUUUCAAUUUUCUCAAUUUUGCUAUAUUUUGCAGGUUUUUCAUACGCAAUGGCGCGAGGGGUUCCCUUCGCCAAGAACGGAAGCAAAGUAUUUCGUUUCCCUGUUUUGUAUUUCGUUCUUCUCUGUGUUCUUGCACCUGGUUUUUUCUUCCUCGGUUCGGGGUUUCACGCUGCGGAUCAAGAAGAUAUUACAGCUGUUCCAAAUACACAGCAGGUUGCCAAAUGGAGAGAAUGGCAUACAUUGAAAGACCUUAAAUCACUUUUUUCUAAAGAGGUUUUUGAUGUUAUUGUAACCAGCACAGAUGAUUUGGGGCCUUUGAGUCUUGACAAUUUCAGAAAAAAUAUGUCUGCAUCAUGGAAAGUUGUUGGAUUAGAGACUUCAAAUGUUGCUUAUGAGCUAAAGCAACCAACAACACAUGUUAGACAAGAAAAACCAAAGGGGAAAGAAGGAAGAUCUUCAGAGGGUCUUGCUCAGUGGACUGAUAGCCCUUCACGGCAAGUCCGAAGGAAAUUAAUAGAAAAAAGGAGGGAAAAGCGUGCUGCUGAGUUGGUAAAGAUGGAUAAUGAAGUAGUUGUAAAACUUGAAAAUGUUGCUAUUGAACGCUCAAGAUCUGUUGAGUCAGCCGUACUGGGUAAAUACAACAUUUGGAGGAAAGAAAUUGAGAAUGAAAAUGCUGAUUCUUCUGUUCGGUUUAUGCGGGACCAGAUCAUUAUGGCUAGGGUAUAUGUGAGUAUUGCAAAGAUGAAGAACAAGCUUGAGCUUUACCAAGAUCUGCAAUCUCGGCUGAAAGAGAGUCAACGUGCUCUAGGUGAUGCACUUGCUGAUUCGGAUCUACAUCGAAGUACACAUGAAAAAAUAAAGGCUAUGGGCCAAGUUCUGUCAAAAGCACGAGCGCAGUUGUAUGAUUGCAAGUUGGUGACUGGAAAAUUGAGAGCAAUGCUACAAACAGCUGACGAGCAAGUUAGGAGCUUGAAGAAACAAAGCACAUUCCUCAGUCAGUUGGCUGCCAAGACCAUACCAAAUGGAAUUCAUUGCUUAUCGAUGCGCCUUACAAUAGAUUACUACCUCCUUCCUCCUGAAAAGAGAAAAUUCCCUAUGAGCGAGAACUUGGAGAAUCCUAGUCUUUAUCAUUAUGCACUAUUUUCAGACAAUGUCUUGGCUGCAUCUGUUGUUGUGAACUCAACUGUUAAGAAUGCAAAGGAUCCUUCAAAGCAUGUUUUCCACCUUGUUACUGAUAAACUAAAUUUUGGAGCCAUGACCAUGUGGUUUAUUUUGAACCCUCCUGGAAAAGCUACAAUCCAUGUUGAAAAUGUUGAUGAUUUUAAGUGGUUGAACUCAUCCUACUGCCCUGUACUGCGGCAGCUGGAAUCAGCAAAAAUGAAAGACUAUUAUUUCAAGGCAGGCCAUCCAACCACACUUACUUCUGGUGCUUCCAAUCUGAAAUAUAGAAACCCAAAAUAUCUCUCGAUGCUCAACCAUCUGAGAUUCUACCUUCCAGAAGUUUAUCCAAAAUUAGAUAAAAUCCUUUUUCUUGAUGACGACAUCGUUGUUCAGAAAGAUUUAACUGGACUAUGGGCAGUUGAUCUUCAGGGUAAAGUAAACGGGGCAGUUGAAACAUGUGGCGAGAGCUUUCACCGAUUUGACAAAUAUCUUAACUUUUCAAAUCCACAUAUUGCAAGAAAUUUUGAUCCAAAUGCUUGUGGUUGGGCAUAUGGGAUGAACAUAUUUGAUCUCAAGGAGUGGAAAAAGAAGGAUAUCACUGGCAUAUAUCACAAGUGGCAGAAUAUGAAUGAAGAAAGGGUGCUGUGGAAGCUGGGGACACUACCUCCAGGGCUAAUGACAUUCUAUGGGAUGACACAUCCACUAAAUAAAUCAUGGCAUGUCCUUGGUUUGGGUUAUAGCCCAACCGUAGAUCGAUCACUGAUAGAGAACGCAGCAGUUGUACACUACAAUGGUAAUAUGAAGCCGUGGCUAGAGAUUGCCAUGACAAAGUAUCGGCCUUACUGGACUAAAUAUGUCCAAUACAAUAAUCCUUAUCUACGAAACUGAUCAAGUUGCUCGAGGUUGAUAGUCUCCAAGAGAUGGCUUUGCAUGAUACGAUGGUGAGAUGAAGACGGUGAUGUCACUAACAUCAAUCUAACGAAGGAGGAAUUCAAAAACUGGUGUGAACUGUGGAAGCACACCUAUUUGAUAGUUCAAAGGCAAUGGAGUCAAUACCAUAUCAAUUGAUAAUCUUUUUUUAUAGUACUUCAUGGUUUGGUCGCAGAGCUAAGUUGUGGGACUCCCUUCAUCAAUUGGCUAAGACAUUUAUUGCCAUUGGUUUGUGAUGGAUGAUUUCAAUGCUUUUUUCGUUGAUCAUGAAAGAUGUGAUGUUGGUUCCCCCCAUAUGUGUAGAGCAUAUGAUUAGUGACCAUGACCUGAUUGAUAUUGGCUUCCAAGGUGGUCCUUUUGCUUGGUAGUGUGGUAGACUGUAGGAGAGACUUGAUAGGAUGCUUAUCAAUUUUCAAUGCUCCUCCGAUGUAAAACCGAAGAGAGAUUGUACAUAUCAAAUUCUGGCCGUCGUGAACAACGGUUUGUGUAGAUGUCGGUUGGACGUGGUGGCAGGUUGAACGGUUGGUUAGUUCGGUUUGUAUCUUCGUUAUUCACAAGGUCAGUAGAAUUGGAUUUUUCCCAAAGUUUGCUCAAGGGAAGGUUAGUUUCUUUUAUGCAGUGAGGACCAGAGGAGCAAAAACAGACGUUGAUCAUUCUCGAGUUCGACCUCCUACACAAUCAAAUAGGAGAGCUGCAAUUGAA